GUUCACCUCUGACCUGUGUCGCCCCGCACGUGCGGCAUUGCAUUAUUUUGGGGUACUCCCAAACGCGAAUUAAAAAGGUCCUGCGGUUGCUUGUUUUUUUCGCUUUUCACUGAACAAUCCGGACAAGGUGGCCACCAACGGGGCAGCUUCAACGAGGAAUCCCGCAGUGAGUCACACAUCGUGUGUUAUUUCAUGAGCUGGUUGAUGUUUGGUUGCGUUGGCUGCUGGCUUCAUUACUCGUGGAUUUGUCCACACGUCACUAUUCUUUCCGCAAAACUUAACCUGGAUUUUACCGCUCGUCUGCUUGGUUUUGCUCAUUGUUAGGUUAGUGCAGUGUUGUAGAUUGUUUUUGAGUGCAGUGUUGCACGUGUUUGUAUGAGGCCUAACGGGGGACGACUAAACGACUGACUUUACUAACGCUGGGGACCGCUCCAACACCGACGACCUGUCUGAACACUGGGAAGGGUAUGCUCUGGAAACUGGACGCAAAAUGGAAGAAAACCUGCAACUAUUGGGAAUGUUCAACGUUUGGGCAAAAUUGGAAUUGUUGAAAGCAAACAAGUUAAAUGGUAAGUAGACCAAUUGGCGAAUGCAACUAUUUUCGCCAAUUGCUUUUUGGUUUCACUGCACCAAUGGACUGCAGAACAUCCCUAGUGGAAAGGACAUCGGUGCAAUUCUGCAUUUUACAAUUUGGUGGCACAGCACCUUCUGCAGAUGCUUCUUCACCUCCCUCAGGAAUCCACAAUGAACUUGAAAGGCGAACGAAAAACCCAGAACGGAUGUCUGGCAAACCGAAAUUAGGGCGAGUGUGUGAAGUUGUGACCUCAAACAUCCACAAUGGGAAGUGCUUUGUUUUCGUUCCACCGGCAACCCCACUGGACCCUUAUGUGUUUGAAAAGCUGUCAGACUGACUACACUGACUAGACGAAUGACUGCGGGCAAGUUAUGGUUUGGUUUCAAUUUAGUUUUUGGCUUGGUAGGUUUGAAUUUAAGAGAUGGAUUAGAUGAUGAUUUGCACAUAAACACUACUCAACAUUCACCCUUUUUUGUAUCUUUCCUUUUUACAACUUUCCAUACAUUUGCAAACUGACUCAAGCUGAAGUUGUACUGCUGAUUGAUUACUUUAAUGUGGUUUUAUUCUGUGCAAUACGACUUUUAAUUAUUUGCAAUGUGGUUUGAUUCUAUUCAAUUCGAUUUUCAUUUUUUGCAAUGUAGUUUUAUUCUAUGCAAUACGAUUUUUUAUUUUCAAUUCUAUGCACUACGAUUUUAAUUCUUUACAAUGUGGUUUUUAUUCUGUGCAAUAUGAUCUGAAAUAUGUGCAGUGCGGUUCCUGUACGAUUUGCCUCUGGCGGUGUCCUUUUUGGUUCAAUCCAUGUAAACGCAACUAAAAUCGGACCUGAUCGGGUUUCACAUGGUAGAAUUAAGAAAUAGUAGAUUAUUUGAUUGAUGGUUAUCGUGCAUAUAUACAUUCAAUCGGAUUAUGCGUUCUGCGCAUGCCGGAGAUUUGCCGAGGAAACUCGCUUCAUGCUGUACCAGUUAAAAGACAUGCACUUUUACAGUUCAUGGAUGGGAGGAAUACUAGAAAACUGAUUUAUUAUAAAAAAAAAUUGAAAUUGGUACAAAGCCACCUAUCGUACCGGGGUAUGACAUGCUUCGGCCAAUGAAUCGAUUUUUCUCACCGCCAUGUGUACUCCGACUAUUAAAGUUGUCCAAUUGGGGAGCAUUGUUGAACUAUGUCUGUAAGCGGUGCAUGUAUGGAUUCAAUGAUUAUUUUCCUUGAUUCAGUUUGCGUCGGUCAGUUACCCAAGAAGAGUCGUUCAGAAUCGUUGGUUCGUUGAGUGGAGUUUCCGGUAGCGGUGAAUCGAAUCAUGGAAUGCACGGUUCUCAGCUGAGUCAGUCAGACUCAGCUCCUCCCUUGUUCUCAUUCUCAAACGAUCGUGGAAGUUGGUCAUCAAUCAACACAACAUUACAACUUGAACCAAACGCAGCGGAACGGGGGUGUAGUUGAUUAUUGGAUGUUUAACAUAUCAGCAAUAUAAUAGACUUGAUUUAGCAAUGAUGAUGUGUCCCGGGUGGAGAACGAACAAUAAAAUAACUGAGGUUGGCAACCCUAAACGACUUCAUUGGCAAAUUCUGAUUCGUAGUCCUGCAAAUUUAAAUCUUUGACAAAUUUUACAUUUCAAUAUAUUGUCAAAUUUCACAAAGUCCAUGCAAAGGUAUGUAUGAACAUCAGCAAUGGAGGCAAGUAAGGUUUAUGACUUUCUAUGGCAAUUUACUUGAGUUAAAUGGUUUGCUCUAAAAAAACAUUGAAAAACAUCAGGUUCUCACUGUACCAGAAAAAAUCUUGCUAGAUGUGCCUCAUGCUGUCUUUCAUAUUACUUAUUUCCAAGGAAUUUAAGCAUUCCAAAGUAUUUUUAACAGUUGACCAUGUAAGAAUGUCUUGGAAUAUUUGUUCAGGGGCAGGGUUGGCCCCUGAACAUUGAAUUUCAAGAUCAGCGUUCUACAGUGUUUGUCAAAUUCAGGACUGGCGCUGGAAGUUGUAGGCGGAGGGAAGACCAGGACUGGUGCAGCUCUACAGAUGCGGAAGGGGAAAGGUGACGUAGUUGGGGGCCUUGCGGUGGCGGUCGAAUGGGGGUCCUUGCGGUGGCGGUCAACAGGAGGUGUCAAGAGUCAAGACCAACUAGCUCCUCGUCCAGGAAAGAUGGCUGUGCAGUUGCCAUGGUGCAGAGACCCAGAGUACGAUGAUCGAACAGUUGACCUACAACAGUGGCCUACUCCCCAUCCAACCUGAGGAUCCCUGGCUACACCUACAAUCCAAUCUAUGCCAGACAUAACCACUCGGAGCUCAACAACUCUGCCUCCUCCAUGUUUAGAUGAAUGAUUUAUAAAUUGUAUUUCUGUGUCCCCAACUAUUGUAUUUCUAACCUAGUUACCUCGGAAUGCUCUAAGGGAGCGACUAAAGAGACAAAGCUGGAGCAAACCUGAGCUUAACAAUCUCUUUCUAAUGUCCUAAAUUGAAUCGUAUAAAAUGCCUAAAGUAACUUGUCCAACAAAACAAAGCCAACCUAAUACCCAAACUUAACCAUCUAACUAAAGAUCUCAAAUGCCUAAACUCUCUUACCUCAACCUAACCUAAUACCCAAACUUGACCAUCUAACUAAAGUUCUCAAAUGCCUAAACUCUUACCUUAACCUAGUACCUAAACUUGACCAUCCAAAAGGCCUAAACCUUGCCUGGUACCUAAACUUAACCAUCUAACUAAACAUACCUAAACUCUUUCCUAAUACCAAAACAAUCUUUAAUGCCUUAACUUGACCAAACACCAAUAAUAAAAUUAACAUCUCUAGUCUUAAACCCAAACCAGCCUUGUCCCUGGGUCGCUCCACUGUGUUCCUUUUAAAUGCAUCUCUUUUCCCCUGCAUCUGUUUUAUUCCUUGAGGACUUGAGUACUUUGUAUUUGAAAACUUGUUUCAUUAAUAAAGAUACUUCAUCUUUACAGACUUGUUUUGGGAAAUUGGGACAGCUGUGAAGCGUCCUUACUCGUGAGUGACCGAUCUGAAGAUAUCAAUUGAAGGAUUAUGAAGCCAAUAAAAUAAGGCCGGAUAUGUGAAAAGACAAGGUAGACAAUGAUCGAGGAGUCAAGGAGUGGAUUGGUAAAUAUCUAACAUGGAACCAAAUGCCUAAUUAUUUGAUCUGUUACCAGGCUAUCGAAUUAGGGGAGUCUGAAGGAGUACCAUACAGUGUUGCAUGGAUUCUUGCUAGAUUGCAUUAUGGCUGAGGCCGUUCAUUUGAAGAAUAUGAAUAAAAAGUAUUUG